rnacentral:tRNA from 2 species
CAGGCUGUAGUUUAGUGAAAAAUUGAGGCUUUGGGAGCAUUAGAUCCUAUUGUUUAGGUGGCCUGA